rnacentral:lncRNA from 7 species
AUGGCUGGAGGGAGAAGAGUUUGUCUUCUAUGGUAUGUGUGUUCCUUGGUUUGUAAUUCUCUCUGUGUGUGUACAUGGAGCCUUUAAGCUUUUCCUAAUGUGGAACAAGACUGGAGUUGCAGACGAAACACUGGUUUGCAUAAGAACGAUAUUAUACGUGCUCUGGCUCCUCCAUGCAAAAAGCUUGGAGAGAAGAAAUGUAAGUUCAGGUCAUCUGUGUUCACAUCAUGCUUGUGAGUUUAGACUGUAUAAAACAACUCGCUCUCCAUUGGGUGUCUGGUACUGGAUCUGAGUGAGUAGGAAGACUUACUCUGAACUUAACUGGAGUUCUGGAUGGCUGUCCUCUGAAUGCACACGUAAACACUGUUCUGUUCUUCUGAUGGAAAAGCCUUUUUGUAUCUUGUAGUUUGUUUUCUUUUGUUCUUUGCAGUGUAUGCUAUGUCAUCUUAAAAAUUAAAGAUUAGCUUCUU